UCAUUUUCAGUUCUUGAAGCGUCUUUAUUUUUGGUGUUGUAUAAAUUUGAGUUAUUUGUGUUAGGUGUUGCGAUGGCUCCUGGCAGCUGUGUGUGUCAGAAGAACCAGCGGUCCAGAGCGUUGUGUUCGCAGUGUGACCGUCACACAUGUGCCACGUGCACUCGCCAGUGUUCCAGCUGCGCCAACGUUUGCUGCUCAGUCUGCACAGUCAUAGAUUACAGUGGCCGUUAUGAUGAAGUUAUCUGCUCUGGAUGCAAAACGUAAAAGACCAAAGGAUCAGAUCGGCCUUGAUGCUCAAAGAUUUUAUUGCCUUCAAGAUGAGACUGAGACUACAUUUUAAAUGUUUUUAAAACUGUGAUCCAUAUAUCUGCUUGUACAUAUGUAUCAUACGUCUAGGUGACUGAAAUAAAUUUGAACACUUUUUUAUAU